rnacentral:rRNA from 1 species
GACGAACGCUGGCGGCGUGCCUAAUACAUGCAAGUAGAACGCACAGUUUAUACCGUAGCUUGCUACACCAUAGACUGUGAGUUGCGAACGGGUGAGUAACGCGUAGGUAACCUGCCUGGUAGCGGGGGAUAACUAUUGGAAACGAUAGCUAAUACCGCAUAAUAUUAAUUAUUGCAUGAUAAUUAAUUGAAAGGUGCAAUUGCACCACUACCAGAUGGACCUGCGUUGUAUUAGCUAGUAGGUGAGGUAACGGCUCACCUAGACGACGAUACAUAGCCGACCGGAGAGGGUGAUCGGCCACACUGGGACUGAGACACGGCCCAGACUCCUACGGGAGGCAGCAGUAGGGAGUCUUCGGCAAUGGACGAAAGUCUGACCGAGCAACGCCGCGUGAGUGAAGAAGGUUGUCGGAUCGUAAAGCUCUGUUGUAAGAGAAGAACGGGUGUGAGAGUGGAAAGUUCACACUGCGACGGUAUCUUACCAGAAAGGGACGGCUAACUACGUG